rnacentral:SRP_RNA from 1 species
GCCAGGCAUGGUGGUGUAUGCUUGUAGUCCCAGCUACUCAGGAGGCUGAGUUGGGAGGAUCACUUGAGCCCAGGAGUUUGAGGCUGCAGUGAGCUGUGAUUGCACCACUGCACCCCAGCCUGGGCAACAGAGUAAGACCCUAUCUCAA